CCAAUAGCGUAUAUUAAAGUUGUUGCAGUUAAAAAGCUCGUAGUUGAAUUUCGGGGUUAGUAGAUUGGUCGUGCCACUGGUAUGUACUGGUCUUACUGAUUCCUCCUUCCUGAUGAACCGUAAUGCCAUUAAUUUGGUGUUGCGGGGAGACUGGACUGUUACUUUGAAAAAAUUAGAGUGUUUAAAGCAGGCUAACGCUUGAAUACAUUAGCAUGGAAUAAUGAAAUAGGACGUUCGAUCCUAUUUUGUUGGUUUCUAAGAUUGACGUAAUGAUUAAUAGGGAUAGUUGGGGGCAUUAGUAUUCAAUUGUCAGAGGUGAAAUUCUUGGAUUUAUUGAAGACUAACUACUGCGAAAGCAUUUGCCAAGGAUGUUUUCAUUAAUCAAGAACGAAAGUUAGGGGAUCGAAGACGAUCAGAUACCGUCGUAGUCUUAACCAUAAACUAUGCCGACUAGGGAUCGGAUGAUGUUAAUUUUUUAAUGACUCAUUCGGCGCCUUACG
rnacentral:rRNA from 1 species